ensembl:lncRNA
CGAGCCCCCCGCGCGCCUGCCGGGGCCUUCGGGGCGGGAGGUUCCGGCGUCGCGCUCGGCUUUCUCUUCCCGCCCGCCCGACCGCUCGAAGCUCGGUGCGGCCUGAGCCGAGAGAUUUCUCCCCUGAACCGUGAACGGACAAAGAGGCUGCCGCAGCAAGUAAAACAAAACUUGGACGGCUUCACGUCGAGCCCCGCAAGCGGCUGAGGGAAGAGCAUGAGCAUGAAGUCUGGGGCAUGGAACAGCAUGUGACAGUGGGACCCCCGGGAGUGAGUAAGAACAAGAGUAACCUCAGAAGAAGCAUGGCAGCACCAUGGCUGGAAAGGUCACCUGACACCAGCAAAUAUGAAACCUGCUCUCUCUACUUCAUGACAGAAUAUGAUGAAAUUUG